CAGAUCUGCAAGGCGAAACUGGCCGUUAGAUGGUCCCGUGGCGUCGCGACGCUGCGGGGGUGUUUUCCAAAGUGGUAGGGAGGGAGGAUCGCUCUCUCUAACGCCGCCCACUACUCUCCCUCCUUUCACGUCUACAGCCUCGUGGCAUCGCUAAUGUAACGGAACGCAACGCAUAAGAGAUCAGCAACCAUACAUCUAUACUCUCUCUCUCUCUCUCUCUCGUUCUCUACAUUCUGCGCAAGAGCAAAGCAAGUGUCAAGGCUCUGGGUAAAAUGGGGACGUGACGCCAGACUGGUAGACGCUUCAGAGUGCCGCCCGCUCUGAAUGAGAUGCGAAAUGGUCAGCACAGUCGAAGAAGAGCAAGUCUUCGCGGGCUUUACACGCCAGCAACUAGAGAUGUUUGCUCCACGGAAUGGCGUUAUAUUUGAACUUGGAAUGACAGCGGGAAUUGGACGGGACUCUAGAGGCAUCAGUGUACGGCAACGACGAUAAAACCGGAAGAGCUGUGACUUCGGAAAAUUGGCCCAGCUAAGAGUACAUCGUUUUACGGUACUCCAGGGCCCCGCCCAUCUGUGUAUGGUCUGAAUUGUCCCGCAGCCAAGGCAACCCUGAUUAUUAGGGCCCCUCGGGCCCUAUUCGGGUGAGAAAGAAACGUCGAGAGAAACAAGCUUUGCACGCCCCGAUACGCCCUUCGGACUUGCCACCAUAGAAAGUGGCUCUACCACCAUGGAGCGGAGCAACUGUCGGACAAAUAGCGACGGGACAAAGAGUGCGAUUAUGUAACGAGCCAAAACUCAGUGAGAAGCAACGGGGCCCCUUAUGUCUUUCCCCGUGAAAACUGGCGCGGCUCGUCAGUCUAAUGGCGCAACGGUUUACAUGGUAUGUACUGUAGAGUCUAUGGUUGCAUAUUUUAGUGUGUCCUGGAACGUGAUAUUUAAUAUAGGGAUAUUGCAGAUACCCACCGAAUAAAAGGAUACAAUAAUUGGACCAAACUCUGUGGUGGCAGCACUGUUAGACCAAGAGAAAGUCCAUGGUUGGCUGUCUGGAAGCCGGAGAUGAGAGUGGGAACGUCAAAGGGCAUUGUUACUGUAGUUAACGAGAAGCCAUGGCAAUCAGUAUCGCUCCCCGUGGCCAACCCGACAAUUCCACCAAUUUAUUUCAAUCCGGACAACAUGGCCGACCGGGGGGCCAUUUUGCUCUCUCGAUUCAAUUCGAUUCAAUCGCCGGGCAGUCGGGCGGCCAAGUUCGUCCAGUCGAAGUUACUUGAGCUUCAAAAGACUAAUUGGCUUUUGGUGGACCACCGGAUCCGGGUCUCUAGUAUUAUUUAUGAUCCAAUGUUAUUUAUUCCAGCAAAUGAUCUUCGACCUCAAGGCGGCCUAAAUAUCUGAUCUGACAUAUAUGUAUAUGCGACAGUAUCCUUGGCUGCUUUCAUGGCCUGUUUCGAUAAUCAGUAAGGAUUGUUAUCGAAGGACAGAGUAGCCACUAAAUGUGCAAAGUUUACCAAUGCAGUUACGAACGGUCCGACGAAUCCAAUCACCCUGGUAAACUAUUAGCGCCGCGACGGCGCUCGGAUCGCUUCAACUCGAAGGAACUCGAAGGAGCUUCAAGGAACUUGAAAUGGCUUUGCAAAUUUACUCGUCGACUCCUCGUUGAGCCGUUAAUUACCUCCUCGCCAAGUUCCUCUACGCCACCAGCAUCGCCGACGCCGCAGCAGCCACUAGGCUACGUAGCCAUCAUCGAAUUUCGGAACGACGCCAGGCGUCGCGCCGGUUUCACCAGCUUUUGAAGAUCGACGUAAUCCCGGCGACGCCCUCGCUCAAUGCUAAUUAGAGAACCGGGACAACGAGGACGUUCAAAGAAAUUCGCGAGCUUGGCUAGGGGUGUUUUGAUGCCUAAGGGUGAGAACCAAGAAGUCUGAACUUCUCCAAGUCUUGCUGGCUGGUUGGCUGGCUUCUUUCGCGUGCAAGGGUAGCAUCAAUCACCAUCCCCUUUCUAUGAGUAAGUAUAGAAUUGCUCAUGAGUUCUUUGGCCCAUCGUUCUUCGCCCUUAACCACCUUCAGGCGAUAACAGGGUAACUGGAGGUCAUACCGGCUGAAAGCACUGUUGGAUUUUUACGUCUGUAGUAACAACCCUUAUUUGUUGAUAUCCAGGUGGAGAAUAAGGGGCAAGGAAGAGGCAAAGAAUAGCAGAGGGAAGAGUCGCUCAAGUGCACUUUCCUAGCCGGCGUAUUAGGGUGGCAACCCUUAUUGUUCCAUCCCUGACACUUGGUCCUUCGUGAUUUGGCGCGUGAACGGUUGACAUAUAAUUAGCAUUCGGGGUGAGUAAGGAAGCCUUGGCUGAGGAUGACAGGAAACACAAUACACCCCCUAUUCACUACGUCUACCCCACAUAACUCGGUCACGAGGCAGACCUCUCCUAGCCCCGGUAGUUCACUAGCAGGCUGACGCCAUGCACCCCGACGCCUAAGCCGAUUCCAUAUUAGCCACCCUCUUCAUCUUAAUCGGCUACCCCUAACACGAAAAUACAUACUAUGGCUAUAUUAAAUCAUAUUUUGACCAAACAGUAGAUUUAGUUUUUAACAAACCCCUAUGAGUGCAUAUACAGUCGACGCUCUGUCUUACCGUCAUCCACAGAUCUAUUUACCUUAAAACCACCCUCAAAGUGCAACCUUGAUUUUUCACGUUACAGGAGUCCAAUCAAAGAAUCGGAAGGGCGUAGAGCAAGUCAAAAAACCGCACGUAUGAGCAAACGGGCACAGCAUAAAAUCGGUGCACACGAGCAACCCCUAGUGAAUGGACCGUUUGCAAAAUGGCCACCAAACUCCUGAUUUCACUAUCUGGAUUCAGUAGUAAUAGCGGCGGCGACAACGGCAGUCGCUGUUCCUGGUUCUGAUGUUGUGCACGUUGGGGGGUUCGCAGCUGCGUCGUCAACGGGGGUCCCUUUUGACCUUCACCCAGGGGUACCUCGUUAUCACUGAUUUCCUUUUUCACUCCUUACUUUAAAUCCACCAGGAAGUCAUGCUGGGAGCCAUGCAUUUUUUCUAUUUCUUUUCUCAGCCGAUUUCUUCUGCGCGUGACUAAAUUACAAUCACUACUAUGCCCCAGAGAUUUUCGUGGGAAACAAAGUAAUAAAAUUUGAGAAUCAGUUUAAUCGAAACAGUUAAAACUUUCAGAUUAAAAUAUCCAAUUUCGUCUCACACUCGUCACUGUCAGUCGUCAAGGUAGCAGCGAUCAUUGAACGAUUCCAGCAUGUCCCCAGCACGCCACUGAAUAAUACUAAUGGCAAUAAUAGUAUUGUGGAAUAAAAGUCAGGAAAACAAUUGAGCCACCCGAUUGUCCCGAGGCGACCUAUUGAGUUAUGAGGGUUGGCCACGAGCACGCGCUCACGUUUGUUCUCAGCACGCACUGACGUCCAGGAAUUCUUCCACGGGAGCAAAAACCAAGAAGACCCUUGCUCUGUUCAGGACAGCUGAUCGGAAGUUGAAGAGCCAACUGGUCUCGAGCUGCUUUUCUUUUGUUCUCAACUGGCUCGUUACGGGGGCGAGAGAGCGUUACUUGCCGUUACUAACUAUACAUAUAUAUAUAUAAGGCCCACAAUCAGACAACAAAAUAUAGUGCUGCUCACGUAUGUAGGAAUGAGGUACGUGGGCCACCUAGGGACCGUAUAUAGUACGUACAUAUAUAGGGCAUGAGGGGGGCAGACACAGGGCCACACGGGGCCCAUUGCCCGCCCUCUUUAAUAGACAAUGAGCAUUACAAAAGGGGUUGGUUGGCUGAGGGAGUAACGUGAACGGGGGGGUUUUAGUCACAGGAGCGACUACUACAUGCAUUGCCGGCACUUCCGGCACUUCCGCUUUCAUUGAAAGAGAGAUCUCAAUUCACCCGAUUCUUCGGAGAAGAAUAAGAGGAGAAUUUGAUACCGGCAGCGGAAGUCUCGCGUGCCAUUUGCCUUGGCACCCGAUCCAGUCUCCUUAGGGCCUUGUUCCUUGGGGCCUCUCUACAUUUCGACCCCCCCGCAGAACCACGGCUACCAUCAUCGGCAACCAAAAUCAGACUAAGAUGAAUAAGGGUGUCUUGAGUGGCGCGUGCCCCCUGUCUCGUAUGUCUCGAGGCUUCUGAACUGACGUCACGUGGGCCUUUUGACUAGAUCCGUAUUUAUAGGUUAAACUAGACACGAUUUACUACCCUUACUUGUAGUCUUUCUUUUUCGUACCCCUCUUUGAUAUAUUUUUUUUUCUAGAUUCGUGAUGCCUCGAACAAUAAGCACGCGAACCAGCCAAGGUUAUUGGCACCCUUAUCAGAUAUCGGUUAUGUGCUUCAACUUAAGGUGCGUGCUGUCUACUGCGAUAGGGGUAGCAAUCAAUUGAUAAGAGCAUCGGAUACUUCAGGGACACGCACCGACGCCUUACUUCCGUUAAGGGACAUUUGAGAAACUUAAAUGCCAACCAUGAUCUCCGUUACAAGCUGCAGAAAAGGAAGCUGUAUUAAUUGAAACAUUGAUUAUGGCAAGGGUACUUUAUGUUCGAGAGGGGUGAGUGGACGGUAAGUAAAGAGGGAUUUAAAGACAUAAUGAGUCUGGUCUCGGUUAAGGGUAGGUCCGAACAAACCGAAUCAGCCAGUAGCUCAGGAAAUAAGUAUCUACGUGAUUGUAGGGGGAUGAAGUGUUGGAAGAAACUGGUCCAACGACUGCCAUCUGCCACCCCCAACCCCCAAGGGUCUUUCGGUCUCGAGGGGGCGCCAGCAGCUUCCCAGACAGCCAAGAACUCGCGAAUGGCUUGGACGGCUCAAUGCCGGCGUCGGGACGCCCUUUCAUGGCUCUUUCGAUCUCCGACCGCCUUCUGAACGACCUAGGAGAAACCCUCGGCGUCUUUAUUCUACCAACAAGCACGACGCCUUUCAUACAAAAUUAAAUAGGAUAUUACGCAUUAAAUGUCGCAAACUUCUCCGAGGUCCUGUUGCUGAUGUUGCUGACCUCCCCCUGAUCCUCCCAUCAUGGGAAACCCCUUGUUGCUUAAAAUCCCUGAAUUUCUCUCUUACCCUACUAAGACAAUCUUUAUCUCCUGGAUACAUAAUUUUUCUACAAAGCGUCGUAAGCUGUCGGCAACGAUCCUCGUUGCUGGUUGCUGGUCCUUCCUGGCAUGUAUUUCCCCAUAUCAAACUGCCACUCCCCCAAUUCGACUUGAACUCCGAGUGGAAACAGCUGUCCCGUUUGUGAAUUCCAUUUGAAUAAUUCAAUUCCCGCGGCGCGUGCCACCGGGAUACCUGAUCGUGAGUCUCCAGGUUUCUCUCUCAUUCUUCACCACACAUGUAGAUCACAUAUGCACUCGCGUCUCCGUGAUCCGUCUUAAGGAGUGUCGUCUGUCCGUUAUGCAUGGGCGAGUGAGUGUAAGUGAGAUCGUAGGUGAGACGAAUACGCGCACACGGACACGUGGCCGGAAGUCGAUAUAUGUUCAGAGCGUUUCCGCCCCAGCGGCUGAAUAGCGUCUCAUUUCGUUCUGUAUCUGAGAAUGAAUCCAUGGAAGGACGCUAGCCGUCGCGACGGGCCGCGAUAGCAUCCUGGCGGCAGAAAUGAAAUGGCUGUGCGAGGGAAAAUUGAAUUGUGGUUUUUUUUUGUUGUCCAAUUCAAAAAGGCGAGAAACGAAUCAAAAGUGACCACUCGACGAUUUAUUUGAUAAUCGACAGGGUGCCUUAUGCCCAUGGGGGAUGAAGUUGAAUUCGCUGCUGAAUUAAAGCAUGGGGGGGGGGGCUCAAGUAAGCCUGACCAAGGGAGGUGAGAAGUUUAUUUAAGAGGAGGAAAUCAUCGUUCGUCGAUUAAGGUGAACGAAGGAGGGUUGAAAAUGGAGAACUGAGCGAAAUGGGGGUGGUUCCAGUUAUUGCUUGUAUUGUAUUUCCUCCCUCGAAAAGCCGCCAACUUGGGGUUGGAUGGUUUUACUUCUCGAGAAACUUCUGGCAACGAUCUCACGGGGGUUGGCUUCGCCAUAUAAUUCUACCCUUAGAAACAUUCGAGUGAAGUCGCAAGGCAUUGAAAAUGUUCGUACCGAAAAGUACCGUUCGGCUUUCGUAACAUUUUUUUAUUCUUUCCCCAGACGCUGUCCGCUGUUGCAAAAAGUACUGCAGUUUUAUCAAUAAAGUGAGCAAUGCCGUACCUCGAGGAAAGGAUUGUCAGCCACAUUGAGAAACGAGGGUGCAAUGUACAGAGCAUCGUUGAAAAUUACAAGGGCGCAUUAGGUACCCAAUGCCCAAUGGGCAUAUAUUGCAAUGCGCCCACUCAUGCAUAUUUAAACCAGCAGAAUAGAACACCGGCCGGAAAUAAGCACCUGCCCGCCUCGGUUC